rnacentral:rRNA from 1 species
GACGAACGCUGGCGGCGUGCUUAACACAUGCAAGUCGAACGGUAAGGCCCUUCGGGGUACACGAGUGGCGAACGGGUGAGUAACACGUGGGUGAUCUGCCCUGCACUUCGGGAUAAGCCUGGGAAACUGGGUCUAAUACCGGAUAGGACCAUGCGCUGCACGGUGUGUGGUGGAAAGAUUUUGCGGUGUGAGAUGGGACCGCGGCCUAUCAGCUUGUUGGUGGGGUAAUGGCCUACCAAGGCGACGGCGGGUAGCCGGCCUGGGUGGGUGACCGGCCACACGAGGACUGAGAUACGGCCAGACGCGUCCGGGAGGCAGCAGUCGGGAAUAUUGCACAAUGAGCGCAUGCCUGAUGCAGCGACGCCGCGUGAGGGAUUACGGCCUUCGGGUUGUAAACCUCUUGCAGUAGGGACGCAGCGCAAGUGACGGUACCUACAGAAGAAGGACCGGCCAACUACGUGCCAGCCGCCGCCGUAA